rnacentral:rRNA from 1 species
UGGGUGACGAGUGGCGGACGGGUGAGUAAUGUCUGGGGAUCUGCCCGAUAGAGGGGGAUAACCACUGGAAACGGUGGCUAAUACCGCAUAACGUCGCAAGACCAAAGAGGGGGACCUUCGGGCCUCUCACUAUCGGAUGAACCCAGAUGGGAUUAGCUAGUAGGCGGGGUAAUGGCCCACCUAGGCGACGAUCCCUAGCUGGUCUGAGAGGAUGACCAGCCACACUGGAACUGAGACACGGUCCAGACUCCUACGGGAGGCAGCAGUGGGGAAUAUUGCACAAUGGGCGCAAGCCUGAUGCAGCCAUGCCGCGUGUAUGAAGAAGGCCUUCGGGUUGUAAAGUACUUUCAGCGGGGAGGAAGGCGACGGGGUUAAUAACC